rnacentral:tRNA from 1 species
GCACUGCUAGCUCAAUUGGCAGAGCAACUGACUCUUAAUCAGUGGGUUCUGGGUUCGAGUCCCAGGCGGUGUA